rnacentral:misc_RNA from 1 species
UUUCCGUAGGUGAACCUGCGGAAGGAUCAUUCACAAUAUGUGUUUUAUGGCACUGUUUAAACAAUACAUUUCCAACUUGUGUGCAAGGUUAUGAGACCCUCUAUGGUUAUCUUUUAGGUUACGGAAGGGGGAACGUCUACAACUUACCAACAACAGUAUUAACCUAUUUGUCUGAACAUAUGUUAUCUCGAAUUAACUUAAUUCGAUAAUACAACUUUCAACAACGGAUCUCUUGGCUCUC